rnacentral:misc_RNA from 1 species
UUUGUAAAGAAGUUGGCAAUCCAUGAAGAUGUCGAACGGAGAAAAUAGUGAAGGCAGUGUGUCGAAUGAGGAUUUGAACGAAUCUGAAAUGUCUGACAAUGGAAGCGAGAGUGGAGACGUUGGAUCUCGCAGGUCUACUGAAAAACUGGACAGCUCGGACAGGGAACUAUACGAGAAGCUUAAACGUCAGGAGAGAGAGGAGAGAGAGGAGAUAGAAAAAGAACUGAAACGAGCUCACGAGGAGGCGAUAAUACGCCGGCACGAGGAACUUCGCGCCAAGGAACUGAGGCUGCAUGCCGAGAGACUUUCACAGCUGGAGUCGGAGAGGGGCCAGGACUUGCGUGUAAAUAAACACGAGGAGUUCCGCGCCCUUCGGGAUGGGCACCCCCUCACAAAAUCCGACUCCUCCUCAAGACUAGAUCUGUUAAAUCAUAGUGCUUUCUUGGACAGAAAUUACCACAGGGCGGGCUCGCUGUCUCCACACAGCGCCACGUCGGCCUCACCCACCGGCGAGGGCCCCGCCCAUCACUGGACGUUUGAGGAACAGUUUAAACAGGCCUUUUCACAGCUCUACGAGUUAAGCGAUGAUCCCAAAAGAAAAGAGUUCCUUGAUGAUUUGUUCCAAUUCAUGCAGAAAAGGGGUACGCCAGUCAACAGAAUCCCCAUCAUGGCCAAACAAACGCUUGAUUUGUAUGAGCUCUUCCGAUUGGUUGUAUCAAAAGGCGGUUUGGUGGAGGUCAUCAACAAGAAAUUAUGGCGGGAAAUUACAAAAGGUCUCAAUCUCCCUUCAUCCAUCACUAGUGCUGCAUUUACCCUCAGAACACAAUACAUGAAGUACUUGUACCCUUACGAGUGCGAGAAACUCAAACUAAGCACGCCUCAAGAACUCCAAGCAGCCAUAGAUGGGAACAGACGGGAAGGUAGGAGGUCCAGUUAUGGUUAUGAUCUGUCACCAGGGACCCACGCUUAUCCCCUCGUCACAUCACCCUCACCUCAACGGCGGUCUCUUUAACGGAAAGCUGGGAGGCAGCGCGGCAGGAGGGGUGUUCCGAAACGAACAACUCAUUCCCUCCUCAUUACUCAAGUACUCUACUAUGACAGAAAACGGAUGGAAUCAAAAAGACUUACUAGAACGGAGAUCUCCUUUGACCAGUUUACAAAAGUUGUGGCAGUUACAGCAUCAUCAACUACUCACGGGAGGAAACGGAACACCUGAUGAAGACAGUUUACCUCCAACCCCCACCCACCCCAGAAGUUUAACUGACCAUUUAACAGAGCGUGACGCAAUUGCAAUGGAGGCGGCAUCUCGAGCCAUGGAGCACGCCACACGAAAAAUGGAGGAAGCAUCACGCGCAGCUGCUCAACUUUCCGAGGAGCCACCCAGAAAACGACCCCACGUCUCUACAGAGGAAGACAGACUCCCCUCCCAUACCAUGCCCAACACACACAUAAAGAUUACUAGUCGAAACGAUGGUCGCUCAGACAUUGACAAUUCAUUGGUAGUCAGCAUGGAGAUUAAUGGCAUCAUGUACCAGGGGGUGCUCUUUGCUCACAAUCCACGCCGUAUGUGAAACUUCAUAAACUGGACACAUAUUUGGAACAAUCUUAAGGAAAACAAUCACUCCGACCUGUCCAAUGCUGGUUCGGUCUUUUGACCUCUGACACAGAAAGGAUGUCCGCAAAUCCUUUGGUCAGUAGGUGCUGGUAGUCGUCCGUAUCAGUGUGGGUGUCAUUAUCAACGUGUAUCGUUGUUGUCUGAAAAUGCCAUAUUGGUAUUUAAGAACUGUGCAAACGUAAUGUUACAGCUAAUUCAUUUUAAAUUCAAUUUAAAGAGUAUUCAUUUAUUUAUUUCCAUGUGACAUACCUACAUGUAGUCCCUAUUUUGUGAAAUAUGUAUGAAUGGGUUAUCACAGAAUGCGAAUUUAUUCACACAAUCAUCAAGUAUUGUUUAGUGAUAAACCCCAUUUGCAUUCAAAGUCACGAUAUACAAAAAUCGCACAUCCUCUUGAAAUCUUCACACAAAGCAUCUAACCACCCAUCUUGCCCGUGGUUCUUCGAGCCAACAAAGAAAAAUUUGAAAUAUUUUUAUCAGAGGGUUAAAGCGUAUUAUGUCUACAAAAUCUGUGCCAUAAUUCUUACAAUGAUGAAGGUAUAUUGUAUGAAAUUCAGACAGUUUAAACUUUAUGGCUACAUCAUUUUUGUAAAUUCUAACAGAGAAGAUGGCUGUUGUAUUAGUUCAAGAAACUCUGUUAUAAUUGCAAUUAUAGUUUCCACUUAGAGUUAUAUACGUCUGUAGAAGUGCAAUGUUGUGUUACGUUCUUUCUGUAUCCAAAAAACUUUUUUCCAGUGCAAUUAGGUUUUGUUUGAAACCAUAGAAACAGAAGUGAUGUGAUAAAAAAUAUAGAAUUAUAUUGCAUAUAAAUCUGUUCUUGGAAUUACUAGUAUAUUUUUUGUUUUGUAAUUCAGGGUUUUAUUUUUAAUCCAAAUUAACCCAUUUGAAUUGGAUACAAAUUUUAUUGAAUGACAUUGUUUGUUAAUAUUUAAUUAUAAUAUGUACACUGUAUUGUCUCUUUGUUAAAAAAAAGAAUGACAUAAUAAACAAAAAAAUACAUGAGCAAAUACUGUUUUAGUUUAUGAUGUGCUGGAAAAAGCAAUGUCUGCAUAUCUGUCGUUUUUUACAAAUAAUUAUUUGCAAGAAAAUAAUGAAAACAUAGUUUACUUUAUAUUUAUAAGAGCUAUUAAAGGGUUAAGAGACAUUGUAUGCCUGGUCGCAACAUGAAAAGAUUGAAAAUUUACUGCAAAACUCAAUUCAGUCCAACCCCUUUUCCAAAAAUUGAAUUAAAUCGAUUGUCAUCACCAUUGUGAACUUAAGACUGUUAUUACAUUCUGGAAUUAAAGAGCGUAUGAAAUCAAAU